GACGUAGGGCGCGAGCGUUGUCCGGAUUUAUUGGGCGUAAAGAGCUCGUAGGCGGCUUGUCGCGUCGACCGUGAAAACUUGGGGCUCAACCCCAAGCCUGCGGUCGAUACGGGCAGGCUAGAGUUCGGUAGGGGAGACUGGAAUUCCUGGUGUAGCGGUGAAAUGCGCAGAUAUCAGGAGGAACACCUGUGGCGAAGGCGGGUCUCUGGGCCGAUACUGACGCUGAGGAGCGAAAGCGUGGGGAGCGAACAGG
rnacentral:rRNA from 1 species